rnacentral:lncRNA from 1 species
AAAGAGAAGUGCAAUAUCUUGGAAUUCGACUCAGUACAGGGGGAAAGUCUGUGGAUAAGAAAAAGUUACCAGUGGAGCAGAACUUUCAGUUGUACAAUAUCCCCAGGACAUCAAUGUGUCUCUUAAUUCAACUGUUUUGAUACUGUGUGAAUUUGACUACCCAGAUAAAACCAUAAAUAAUACAUUGACAGAGGUGUAUUGGAGGAAAGACCCUACCAGUAAUCAGCCGGCGCUCCAGCCAACCACAAGUACCUCUGAUGUUCAAAAGUCACAGAUACAAAUUAAAACAGAACAGUCCAAAAAAAUUUCAAUCUUACGACUGGACAACGUUCAGCUGAAAGAUGCUGUCAUGUAUUUCUGUGAUGUAUGGCUAACUUUUCCACCACCGGUAAGGCACAAAUUUGGAAGUGGCAGCAGGCUGACAGUACAUGAGUCCAAAUGCAAUGGCAAUAUCAGACAUGAUAAAACGUGGUGGGUGUGGUUCUUUCUUCUUGGAUACAGCAUCUGUUCCUCCGUUAUUAUCAUAGCUUUCUCUGUAAGUAACCGUUCAGAAAUAAGUAUUACAAAACUAAAUAUGCUCCUGGGGUAUUUUUGA